AGGCAGGCAGCCCCCACCCCGGCCUGGGGGCGGUUUGCAGGGCGGGGCCCCCCCUGCUCUCCAGCACUGGGCACCGACUACCCCAGUGCUCACCGCUCUCCACGCAGGCAGCCAUGCGGCAAGCCCGGGAGCUGCUCGCCUUCUGCUGCCUGGUCUUGAGCACCACCGGGCGCCCUUCGCGAGUUCUGUGCUUCUCUCUUUCAGAUUUUUGUGCCCAGACCCUUAACUCAGAUGUGAAACCAGGAUUUCCUAAAACAAUAAACCCCAAUGACUCAGCAGUCCUCAAAGCAGCCAGACACAGCGUUGAAAGGUUCAACAACUGCACAAAUGACAUCUUCUUGUUCAAGGAGUCCCACAUCAGCAGAGCCCUGGUCCAGAUUGUGAAGGGUCUGAAGUACAUGCUGGACAUGGAGAUUGGCAGAACUUCUUGCAAGAAGACCCAGCACCCUAGUCUAGACAACUGUGACUUCCAGACCAACCACACCUUACAACGGAUGUGAAAUUCUUCAAAACAACUUGGGGCAGGAGGAGAGCUUAAUAAGGAAAAUGCACACACACACAGACUUUCAGUUGCUACUCUGAAGUUUGGGUCAUCCCCUGGCUCCAGAGGUUCGAGGUGCCCGUCCUCCACUGUCAGUGACUUCCACCUCACAGCAAGACUGCACCUGUGCUGUUUACUGUGCUCAGUCACAGCCCUGUCCUGGCUGUCACAGACCCUUGGACCUUCUAGAGGAGCUCAGCAGUGAGCAGAAGUGCCCACAGGUUCACUGCAAAGUAGCCAGAGUGGAAUAAAAAGAUACUGCCCCUGGCUAGAUUAUUUCACAUUUUUUUCUAAACUUCAUUUUACUAAUGCUGUGUCCCAGACAGAUUUGGGGUCUGGACACACAGGAGCGAGUCCUCUGGUGGGAAUUUUUCAGGUUCUGGACCCCUGAGCAAGCCCAAUUACCCUGUGGUCCCACGCUCACCAAUGAAAAGCCCAGAGAUCCAUCCCUCUGACUGAAUAACUGUUACAGCACUGGGCAGAGGACCCAAGUCUGCUAUUAAGCACCUUUGCCCUUUCAUGGAUGAAUAAAGUCAUGAAUAAAUAGGAAUAAAGAACUGA